AUUGAACGCUGGCGGCAUGCCUUACACAUGCAAGUCGAACGGCAGCACGGGAGCAAUCCUGGUGGCGAGUGGCGAACGGGUGAGUAAUAUAUCGGAACGUGCCCAGUAGUGGGGGAUAACUGCUCGAAAGAGCAGCUAAUACCGCAUACGACAUGAGGGUGAAAGGGGGGGAUCGCAAGACCUCUCGCUAUUGGAGCGGCCGGUAUCAGAUUAGCUAGUUGGUGGGGUAAAGGCCUACCAAGGCAACGAUCGGUAGUUGGUCUGAGAGGACGACCAGCCACACUGGGACUGAGACACGGCCCAGACUCCUACGGGAGGCAGCAGUGGGGAAUUUUGGACAAUGGGCGCAAGCCUGAUCCAGCAAUGCCGCGUGCAGGAAGAAGGCCGUCGGGUUGUAAACUGCUUUUGUCAGGGAAGAAAUCCUCUAGGUUAAUACCCUUGGGGUGAUGACGGUACCUGAAGAAUAAGCACCGGCUAACUACGUGCCAGCCGCCGCAGUAAGAC
rnacentral:rRNA from 1 species